UGGAUCCAGACUUUGAUCUGGCUCAGAUUGAACGCUGGCGGCAUGCCUUACACAUGCAAGUCGAACGGCAGCACGGGAGCUUGCUCCUGGUGGCGAGUGGCGCACGGGUGAGUAAUGCAUCGGAACGUGUCCUCUUGUGGGGGAUAACUGCCCGAAAGGGCAGCUAAUACCGCAUGAGACCUGAGGGUGAAAGCAGGGGAUCGCAAGACCUUGCGCAGGAGGAGCGGCCGAUGUUCGAUUAGCUAGUUGGCGGGGUAAAGGCCCACCAAGGCGACGAUCGAUAGCUGGUCUGAGAGGACGACCAGCCACACUGGGACUGAGACACGGCCCAGACUCCUACGGGAGGCAGCAGUGGGGAAUUUUGGACAAUGGGGGCAACCCUGAUCCAGCCAUGCCGCGUGCAGGAUGAGGGUCUUCGGAUUGUAAACUGCUUUUGUCAGGGACGAAAAGGAGCUUGAUAACACCAGGCUCUGCUGACGGUACCUGAAGAAUAGGCACCGGCUAACUACGUGCCAGCAGCCGCGGUAAUACGUAGGGUGCAAGCGUUAAUCGGAAUUACUGGGCGUAAAGCGUGCGCAGGCGGUUCUGUAAGAUAGAUGUGAAAUCCCCGGGCUUAACCUGGGAAUUGCAUAUAUGACUGCAGGACUUGAGUUUGUCAGAGGAGGGUGGAAUUCCAAGUGUAGCAGUGAAAUGCGUAGAUAUUUGGAAGAACACCAAUGGCGAAGGCAGCCCUCUGGGACAUGACUGACGCUCAUGCACGAAAGCGUGGGGAGCAAACAGGAUUAGAUACCCUGGUAGUCCAGGCCCUAAACGAUGUCUACUAGUUGUUGGGAGAGCAAUCUCUUGGUAACGCAGCUAACGCGUGAAGUAGACCGCCUGGGGAGUACGGUCGCAAGAUUACAACUCAAAUGAAUUGACGGA
rnacentral:rRNA from 1 species